AUUGAACGCUGGCGGCAUGCUUUACACAUGCAAGUCGAACGGUAACAGGCCGCAAGGUGCUGACGAGUGGCGAACGGGUGAGUAAUGCAUCGGAACGUGCCCAGUCGUGGGGGAUAACGCAGCGAAAGCUGUGCUAAUACCGCAUACGAUCUAUGGAUGAAAGCGGGGGACCGUAAGGCCUCGCGCGAUUGGAGCGGCCGAUGUCAGAUUAGGAAGUUGGUGGGGUAAAGGCUCACCAAGCCAACGAUCUGUAGCUGGUCUUAGAGGACGACCAGCCACACGGGGACUGAGACACGGCCCAGACUCCUACGGGAGGCAGCAGUGGGGAAUUUUGGACAAUGGGCGCAAGCCUGAUCCAGCCAUUCCGCGUGAAUGAAGAAGGCCUUCGGGUUGUAAAGCUCUUUCGGCAGGAACGAAACGGUCUUUUCUAAUACAAGAGGCUACUGACGGUACCUGAAGAAGAAGCACCGGCUAACUACGUGCCAGCCGCCGCAGUAA
rnacentral:rRNA from 1 species